UCCUACAGUAGCAUCCUUGCCUAAGCAAAUGGAUACCAAAAUCAAAGAGCCAGAAGGGCCGUGCAACCUCGAAUAUGUCCGUCGCUACACUCAGUCUCUUAACUACCCGCUGGAGAAGACGAGCGAUAUGUCCGAGGAGAUGCGAGCUGACUGCAAAGAGAUUGUGGUCAACGCGUUGGAGAAGCACGAGGAUAGCUACGAGAUGGCUGCCAAGUAUGUCAAGGAGCAGAUGGACAAGAAGUUUGGACCUUCCUGGCAUUGUGUUAUUGGAGAGGGAUUCGGAUUUGAGAUCACCUAUGAGGUGAAGCACCUGAUGUACAUGUUCCAUAGGGGUUUCAUUGCUAUUGUCGUGUUCAAGGGCCUCUAAGGUGGUGUUUAUAGCACUUUGACUUCUCAUGUAUACAGCUUUACGGAAGAAACGCAAGAAAUUGAGCUGCCAUCUCAGCGGGCCACGGCUACAAUGACGUAGGUUCAUCUGCGCAGGUUGGAAUACUCAGCGCAAAAGGUGUCAGAGAUGCCAUGGAUGACAACUUGUCUUCCUUUCGAUUUGCCAGUGCUUUCUCUACGUGUGUGUGUGUGAGCGGAGUAUUCGUGAGGCUAUGCUGUCAUUGUGUCCCCCACUCUCUCUUGUCGUGCGAAAG
rnacentral:misc_RNA from 1 species